CAGCCGCCGCAGGAAUACGAAGGGGGCUAGCGUUGUUCGGAAUUACUGGGCGUAAAGCGCACGUAGGCGGAUAUUUAAGUCAGGGGUGGAAUCCCGCAGCUCAACUGCGGAACUGCCUUUGAUACUGGGUAUCUUGAGUAUGGAAGAGGUUAGUGGAAUUGCGAGUGUAGAGGUGAAAUUCGUAGAUAUUCGCAGGAACACCAGUGGCGAAGGCGGCUAACUGGUCCAUAACUGACGCUGAGGUGCGAAAGCGUGGGGAGCAAACAGGAUUAGAUACCCCAGUAGUCCCUGUCUCUUAUAC
rnacentral:rRNA from 1 species